CACCCAUUAUGGUUUGGAGGUAAAAAAAAAAGAGUCAUACAAACAUCUCUCACUCCCUCUACAAAUUAAGAAAAUAUAACGUAAAAAAAAUAAUAUAUGUGUAAUAUGCACAAAAUGCACCUUUGUAGUCUGGAUAUGUACCCCUUGCAGACAGACACUUGCGGUUUACUUAACAUUUUUGCAAAUCCAACCCUGUUCAUAAGACAUUUCAUUUGACAGAAGCAAAGCAGGGACAUAAAUCAUAGCAUUAUAGAAACAUCUCUCCCCCAAUGAUUUCAGAUAAUCAAAGUGAGCUGUUAAUUAAUGAAACUGACCAUUUCAUGUCAUUUUUCUCAUUAAAUAUGAAUGAUCUUUUUUUUUUUUUUUUACGUUACCUGUAACCCACACUCAAACUUUUCAGACAGUUAUAGGGAUUAAUU